GACGAACCGUCCAAACGUUAUUCGGAAUCACUGGGCUUAAAGGGUGCGUAGGCGGUCCGGCAAGUUGGGUGUGAAAUCCCUCGGCUCAACCGAGGAAUUGCGUCCAAAACUGCCGGACUCGAGGGAGACAUAGGUGAGCGGAACCUAGGGUGGAGCGGUGAAAUGCGUUGAGAUCCUAGGGAACACCAGUAGCGAAAGCGGCUCACUGGGUCUCUUCUGACGCUGAUGCACGAAAGCUAGGGGAGCGAAGAGG
rnacentral:rRNA from 1 species